AAGAAUUGAAAUGACAGUGGAUC
rnacentral:piRNA from 1 species